CCUUAAGAGUACUUUCACAUUUAGCAACUGACGCGCUGCCGAAAAUUUCAGACUAUGUGACAGCGGAUGCAUGCCUUCACAUAAUAAAAACGCCGCUGCCGCGCUGCAGUCGCGCUACUAACACCCUAAUGUGAAAGCGCUCUAAGUUAUUCACAUAUCCAAACAUCUAUUGCCUUUUUAAAAAGUUUUGUGAGUAAUUUUUGUAAGUUGUCUAUUCAUGUUUUCUUUUCCCAAUGUUCGUUAGCGAUGAACUUUUCCUAUGGGUACAUCACUUCCAUAACAUUGGAAUAAUAAAUGUGGCAUUUGCUCCCUUUCUUGCCUAGCUAUGGGAAGUCAGGGAUCUCAGUUCACAUACAAAAGCAUAUUUUAUCUAAUAAAUCUGAUGCUUCUUUUUACAUACAGUUGAAAUUGCAUCUAUGAUUGUAAAUGUUUCCUAAUCGCUCAAUAAAUCACAGUCGACGAUGUUAAAACUGCUAAAAAUACCGGCGAAUCUAUAAACAUGAUUACACGUGUCGAAUUGCGAUGUUCCUAUUGUGACACGUGAAUGUUAUCAUUACUGCAGCAAACUUGAUAUUUCCAUCCAUUCCAUUCCAUCCACUCUACAUUGUUGGAUGUAGGCUCAGAAUACGGAACAAACCAGAAACCGUCAACGGGCGUAAAUGUGUAUUCAUAUAAAGUACUCCAAAUCGCACUACUUUGACUUUAGAGCAAUCAGUCAAUGGCCGGCGCGCGCAUUGUUUACAUAUCCGUCAGAUUGACACUUUAUAAUUAAAUUAUGCCGUCUUGUGCCGUUCCAACAUGUAAGAAUGCUACUGGAAUUACGAAGAAAGUGCAUGGGAUCAUGUUUUAUCCGAUACACAGCCAGAGUUGCCUCGCAAUCAAAUUUAAGUAUUGGUGAUGUUUUUGAUUUGGAUUCUGUUUUUGACUCCAAGAAAAGUUAAACUAAAAGCACUACUGCGCCGUAAACAAAUGUUUUGUUGUCGAUAUGUUUACAUAAUAAAGAACCUUAAGUUUC